rnacentral:rRNA from 1 species
AUGGAAGACGGGGACGUCUAUGACUGCAUCGAUGUGUAUAAGCAACCGGCUUUUAACCACCCAUUGCUGAAAGACCAUAAAACCCAGAUGAAACCAAGUUCUUUCCCUGUUUGGAUGGAUACCCAAACAUUUCCUUCGGAUUCUUUUUCACAAGUGCAACCAUCUAUCAUCAAGUGCCCAACGGGAACAAUUCCAAUACUGUGUAGUAAUGGAAGUAGCACCAUAGCAACCCACAAUAUUGAUGGGCUCAAAAACGAUAUGCAGUGGGAGAGGGCGGGACUCAGAUACGUUGGUGAUUUAUUUGGGGCGCGUGCUCUAAUAAAUGUUUGGGAGCCAAAGGUAAAAAAGAGCCAGGAUUCUAGCUCACUUUGGAUAAAUAUUGAAAAUGGAGGAGGGCAACACACAGAUCGGAUGGGCGCUGGUCUUCGGGUAUCUCCAACAUUGAGUGGUGAUGCUUUUGUUAGAUUUCAUGUUGCUUGGUACGAUGGGUAUUCAAAGAAGUCAUGCGUUGACUUCAGCUGUCCUGGAUAUGUUCAAGUCCACCACAACGUUGGUCCUGGAUCAAGAAUACAACCAUCCUCUGUCUAUGGUGGAGUACAGAAAGUAGUAGACAUUCAAAUAUUCAAGGAGCCGACAUCAGGCCAUUGGUGGGUGAGUGUCAAUAAAAUGCCAAUUGGAUAUUGGCCGGGCGGAUUAUUCAAAUUCAUUAGAUACAAGGGUGGUUUUGCGUUCUGGGGCGGGCAGGUUGAGGGGCCGACUGCCGCAUCAAACUCUCCGGAGAUGGGUAGCGGGCAUUUUGCUUUGGAAGGAUUCGGAAAAGCGGCGUUCAUGGAAGGCAUCGAGAUUGCCGAUAAUAAGGGCUGGUUUGUGACCCCGGAUAAAUCCCGAGUGAAGCAUGGGUCGAGCGAUCGGUCCAAAUACACCGCCGAUGGAUUUGAAGUUAGAAAGGAUUUAGGUAUGCUUUUCUUCUAUGGUGGACCAGGGUCCAAGAGGGCCUGA